GUGGGUAGUUUGACUGGGGCGGUCUCCUCCUAAAGAGUAACGGAGGAGCACGAAGGUUGGCUAAUCCUGGUCGGACAUCAGGAGGUUAGUGCAAUGGCAUAAGCCAGCUUGACUGCGAGCGUGACGGCGCGAGCAGGUGCGAAAGCAGGUCAUAGUGAUCCGGUGGUUCUGAAUGGAAGGGCCAUCGCUCAACGGAUAAAAGGUACUCCGGGGAUAACAGGCUGAUACCGCCCAAGAGUUCAUAUCGACGGCGGUGUUUGGCACCUCGAUGUCGGCUCAUCACAUCCUGGGGCUGAAGUAGGUCCCAAGGGUAUGGCUGUUCGCCAUUUAAAGUGGUACGCGAGCUGGGUUUAGAACGUCGUGAGACAGUUCGGUCCCUAUCUGCCGUGGGCGCUGGAGAACUGAGGGGGGCUGCUCCUAGUACGAGAGGACCGGAGUGGACGCAUCACUGGUGUUCGGGUUGUCAUGCCAAUGGCACUGCCCGGUAGCUAAAUGCGGAAGAGAUAAGUGCUGAAAGCAUCUAAGCACGAAACUUGCCCCGAGAUGAGUUCUCCCUGAGACUUAGAGUCUCCUGAAGGAACGUUGAAGACGACGACGUUGAUAGGCCGGGUGUGUAAGCGCAGCGAUGCGUUGAGCUAACCGGUACUAAUGAACCGUGAGGCUUAGCCUUACAACGCCGAAG
rnacentral:rRNA from 2 species